CGAAUUUAUGAUUUGUGAGGCAGUUUCCUCUCUGACAGAGUUUAAAGCAGCAUGCAGUCAGAGUUUGUGUAGACUGAGGGCAGUCUGAGCGGGGACUGUAAAUGAUAAAAUACUUGUUUACCCUCAGUGAGUGACAGUUUAUUUUUAGUGUUAUGAACCCUGAAAUUGUGUGAUCCAGCACAGGCAGGACCAAAGGGUGUAACAAGCUCAUACUACAUCACACAUAAAGUCCAGACUGGAAGAAAAGUUGUUGCAGCAACACUAAAUGACUUUAAAAUUGUUCAUUUUGGCUCAAUGGUGUUUAGACAUAACUUACCUCACCAACAAUAUUGUAUUUAAGUAUGUAUGUUACACACCAAGUCUACUUUCAACAAGGAAUGGUAACCUUUAGUCUUCUAGUUUGGAUGAUUGAGUUGACACCUGUUGUUAAAG